UACGAAGGGGGGCUAGCGUUGCUCGGAAUCACUGGGCGUAAAGCGCACGUAGGCGGCUUCUUAAGUCGAGGGUGAAAUCCCAGGGCUCAACCCUGGAACUGCCUUCGAUACUGGCGAUCUUCGAGUCCGGGAGAGGUGAGUGGAACUCCGAGUGUAGAGGUGAAAUUCGUAGAUAUUCGCAAGAACACCAGUGGCGAAGGCGGCCACCUGGACGGUCACUGA
rnacentral:rRNA from 1 species